rnacentral:rRNA from 1 species
UGCAGUCGGACGGUAGCACAGAGAGCUUGCUCUUGGGUGACGAGUGGGGGACGGGUGAGUAAUGUCUGGGGAUCUGCCCGAUAGAGGGGGAUAACCACUGGAAACGGUGGCUAAUACCGCAUAACGUCGCAAGACCAAAGAGGGGGACCUUCGGGCCUCUCACUAUCGGAUGAACCCAGAUGGGAUUAGCUAGUAGGCGGGGUAAUGGGCCACCUAGGCGACAAUCCCUAGCUGGUCUGAGAGGAUGACCAGCCACACUGGAACUGAGACACGGUCCACACUCCUACGGGAGGCAGCAGUGGGGAAUAUUGCACAAUGGGCGCAAGCCUGAUGCAGCCAUGCCGCGUGUAUGAAGAAGGCCUUCGGGUUGUAAAGUACUUUCAGCGGGGAGGAAGGCGAUGUGGUUAAUAACCGCAUCGAUUGACGUUACCCGCAGAAAAAACACCGGCUAACUCCGUGCCAGCAGCCGCGGUAAUACGGAGGGUGCAAGCGUUAAUCGGAAUUACUGGGCGUAAAGCGCACGCACGCGGUCUGUUAAGUCAGAUGUGAAAUCCCCGGGCUUAACCUGGGAACUGCAUUUGAAACUGGCAGGCUUGAGUCUUGUAGAGGGGGGUAGAAUUCCAGGUGUAGCGGUGAAAUGCGUAGAGAUCUGGAGGAAUACCGGUGGCGAAAGCGGCCCCCUGUACAAAGACUGACGCUCACGUGCGAA